rnacentral:misc_RNA from 1 species
CAGUCUGUUUUAUGAACGGCCUGGGUUUCCAAGCAUUGUU